ACAUAUGUCCGACCUCUAUGGAAGAUCCACUCAAAGCCCCGAUCUGAUCGGUCUCCUCGAGAGUGCUAGCUCCCAUAAAGACCAUCUUGUUGGCUGAUCUGGAUCUUUUCUUCAAAUCUCUUGAAUCUUUUCAAAGAUUGAAGAUAGACAGGUGGAGGAGAUGAAAGAGAAAAAAAAAUAUGGAGAAAAAAUAUUUUUUUCUUUUAUUUUUCUCUCUUCCCAAAUCCUAGGACCAAACCCUAGAAUCUAGGGUUUUCGCUCACCCAAGAGAAGAGGACUCUCCUCUUCUUUUUCCAAGCCAUGAACUCAUGCCCCA
rnacentral:lncRNA from 1 species